GCCAGACUCCUACGGGAGGCAGCAGUGGGGGAUAUUGCACAAUGGGGGGAACCCUGAUGCAGCGACGCCGCGUGGGUGAAGAAGUAUUUCGGUAUGUAAAGCCCUAUCGGCAGGGAAGAAAUUGGACGGUACCUGACUAAGAAGCCCCGGCUAACUACGUGCCAGCAGCCGCGGUAAUACGUAGGGGGCAAGCGUUAUCCGGAUUCACUGGGUGUAAAGGGAGCGUAGACGGCCAUGCAAGCCUGGAGUGAAAGCCCGGGGCCCAACCCCGGGACUGCUCUGGGAACUGUGCGGCUGGAGUGCGGGAGGGGCAGGCGGAAUUCCUGGUGUAGCGGUGAAAUGCGUAGAUAUCAGGAGGAACACCGGCGGCGAAGGCGGCUUGCUGGACGAUGACUGACGUUGAGGCUCGAAAGCGUGGGGAGCAAACAGGAUUAGAUACCCCAGUAAC
rnacentral:rRNA from 1 species